CAGGACGAACGCUGGCGGCGUGCCUAAUACAUGCAAGUCGAACGGUCUUUCUAUGGAAGCUUGCUUCCACUGAGAAGAUAGUGGCGAACGGGUGAGUAACACGUGGGUAACCUGCCCAUAAGAGGGGGAUAACAUCCGGAAACGGGUGCUAAUACCGCAUAGUUUCUUGAUCGCAUGAUCGGGAAAGGAAAGACGGCCUUUGUGCUGUCGCUUAUGGAUGGACCCGCGGCGUAUUAGUUAGUUGGUGAGGUAACGGCUCACCAAGACGAUGAUACGUAGCCGACCUGAGAGGGUGAUCGGCCACAUUGGGACUGAGACACGGCCCAAACUCCUACGGGAGGCAGCAGUAGGGAAUCUUCCGCAAUGGACGAAAGUCUGACGGAGCAACGCCGCGUGAGUGAAGAAGGGGUUUUCGGAUCGUAAAACUCUGUUGUCAGAGAAGAACAAGUUGGAGAGUAACUGCUCCAGCCUUGACGGUAUCUGACCAGAAAGCCACGGCUAACUACGUGCCAGCAGCGGC
rnacentral:rRNA from 1 species